rnacentral:rRNA from 1 species
UACUCCUACGGGAGGCAGCAGUAGGGAAUCUUCGGCAAUGGACGGAAGUCUGACCGAGCAACGCCGCGUGAGUGAAGAAGGUUUUCGGAUCGUAAAGCUCUGUUGUAAGAGAAGAACGAGUGUGAGAGUGGAAAGUUCACACUGUGACGGUAUCUUACCAGAAAGGGACGGCUAACUACGUGCCAGCAGCCGCGGUAAUACGUAGGUCCCGAGCGUUGUCCGGAUUUAUUGGGCGUAAAGCGAGCGCAGGCGGUUAGAUAAGUCUGAAGUUAAAGGCUGUGGCUUAACCAUAGUACGCUUUGGAAACUGUUUAACUUGAGUGCAAGAGGGGAGAGUGGAAUUCCAUGUGUAGCGGUGAAAUGCGUAGAUAUAUGGAGGAACACCGGUGGCGAAAGCGGCUCUCUGGCUUGUAACUGACGCUGAGGCUCGAAAGCGUGGGGAGCAAACAGGAUUAGAUACCCUGGUAGUCCACGCCGUAAACGAUGAGUGCUAGGUGUUAGACCCUUUCCGGGGUUUAGUGCCGUAGCUAACGCAUUAAGCACUCCGCCUGGGGAGUACGACCGCAAGGUUGAAACUCAAAGGAAUUGACGA